rnacentral:rRNA from 1 species
UACGUAGGGUGCAAGCGUUAAUCGGAAUUACUGGGCGUAAAGCGUGCGCAGGCGGUGAUGUAAGACAGAUGUGAAAUCCCCGGGCUUAACCUGGGAACUGCAUUUGUGACUGCAUCGCUGGAGUGCGGCAGAGGGAUGUGGAAUUCCAGGUGUAGCGGUGAAAUGCGUAGAUAUCUGGAGGAACACCGGUGGCGAAGGCGGCAUCCUGGACCGGUAUUGACGCUGAGGCGCGAAAGCUAGGGGAGCAAACGGG